UACGUAGGAUGCAAGCGUUGUCCGGAAUUAUUGGGCGUAAAGAGCUCGUAGGCGGUUUGUCGCGUCUGCCGUGAAAGUCCGGGGCUCAACUCCGGAUCUGCGGUGGGUACGGGCAGACUAGAGGUGAUGUAGGGGAGACUGGAAUUCCUGGAUGUAGCGGUGAAAUGCGCAGAUAUCAGGAGGAACACCGGUGGCGAAGGCGGGUCUCUGGGCAAUAACUGACGCUGGAGGAAGCGAAAGCGUGGGGAGCGAACAGG
rnacentral:rRNA from 1 species